UAUAAAAGGGCACCACCUUCGUCGAAGAACGGCACGGGCGAGCUCGGAGAUCCUUCACUGAGAGACAUCGGGAAGGAUUGAAGGGCGAGCACGGGAGAGAACUCGGGUCGCGAGCUCGGCUGACCUCCCACUGAGAGACUUCAGGGGAGGCCGCCGGCGAGCGAGUCCGAGAAGGUCAGAUCCGGCCGGUGGAGGCUCGGAUCUGGCCUGAGUGAGAGAGAAGCGAGGUCGGGCUGAGAAGCAAAGAAGGUGAGAUCCGAGCAGGAAGGAGCUGAGCGAGAGAAGAUCCGGAGGAGAAAGGGUCGGGAUCUGGGCGCAGAUCUGGAAAUCCGCCGUGCCAAGUCGCCCCGAGCCAGGCCGCCGCCGUCGCUGUGGCCGGACACCAGUCCCGACGCCGUCAAACCAUACUGUCGCCCCCCGCGCCUCGCCGCUGCUAUUUUUCCCGACGCCGUCCAAGUUUAAGGGCCGCCGUCAUCAAGCCGUGCCGCCGUGCCGUGCCAACGCCGAGAGCAGGUGACGAUAGAUCCUGCCCACGCCAUACCGAUUUCCGCUCGAAGCUCUGACCGUCGUCGCCGCCGUCGCCGCCGUCGCCACCGCGCACCUCAGCCUUCCCCUCUCCGGCGCCGCGAAUCGAGAACCCUAGGGUUCUCGAUUUUCCGGGUCGCGGCCUCGGGUCAGUGGGUCGAACCCGGGGCUACGAGUCUGGUAGGGUUUCUCCGUAUUUUGGGGGGGCGGCGGAAACCAGGUCGGGGUUCGGGUCGGAUCCGGGUAGGGUUUCAUCGGGGGAGCGGGUUGCGGAGCCGGGUCGUCGGGCCGGGCUGGAUCCCUCCCAAAACGAUGGGCCACGACGCCGUUUCAAUAAAUAAAUAAAAAAAGAAAAAGACGAAAAAAAACCGAGUCGGGCCCGCAACGCGGGCCCGUCCUCAUUCGAAUCGCUGGCCCGGGUCGGACCCAACCCGCGGAUUCGACCCGGGUCGGUUUUAUUUUAUUAUUUUAAUAUAAAAUAAUAAAUAUUUUAUUUUCAAAAAAAAUCAAAAAGUGUUUUAUUUUCAAAAAAUAUUAAAAAAAAUAUUUUAAUUUCCAGAAAAUCGAAAAAUAUUAAAAAUUGUUGAAAAAUGUUUUAUUUUCUAAAAAAUCGAGAAAAAUCAAAAAAAUAAUUUAUUUUCCAAAAAUAUUAAAAAAAUAUUAAAAAAUAUUUUAUUUUCUGAAAAAUCAAAAAAAUCAAAAAUAUUUCAUAUUUUCCAAAAAAAAGCCAAAAAUUCAGAAAAAGCCAAAAAGACUUGUAUUUUUCCAAAAAAAUACCAAAAAACCCCAAAAAAUCCCUUUUGUGUCCAAAAAAAAUUAGAAAAUGACUCAAAAAUGUUUUUCCUCCCAAAAAUGCAUGGAAAAUCUCUCAAACAUCUAAAAAGCCUUAGGGUUUAAACAAGAUUAGGUACCGAAAGGGCAUUAGUGAUUAACUAGUGUAAUCAAGUCCCCAAUCCUAAUUUCUCUGGUUGCGCAGGAGCGAAUAUUUCUCCCGAUACUUCGCUUGGGUUUCUAAUCGACCCACUCCAAAUCGAUUAGUGGCGACUCCAUUUUAAAAAUUGAUUUAUAGGUUAAAAACUCAAACUAUUAAAGUCGUGAAUUGGUGGACUUGGGAGAGUCCGGGCUUAAUAAAUUCAGCCGAGCCAUUAGCCUCCUUAGGCGCUCGUACCCGAUCGCGGGCGCCAAAAAAAAAGAGGUCGCGACAGCUUGGCGACUCCGCUGGGGACUUUUGAGGACUUAGGCCAUUUUAUCUUUGUUUAAAUGCUUUGUUGACUUGGUUUUUUUUCUUUUAUGCAGGGUAAUAGCUUAAAGUUUUUUAUUCUGUUAAAAUAAAAUGUUUUUGUGAUUAUAAACUGUUGUGCAUGCUUUACUGUUUUAAACACUACACAUGGCACACACAACCCGGCCGCCGGACCUAGGCCGCCAUAGGAUUUCUAGGAUGGUGUUAAGAAAGAUACGACGUAGAGGUUGCCUUUCUUUUCCCCGAAUUUCUUAGCCGAGGUUAGGAGGAUAUGCUGCUAACGCGAGACUGCGACGGGCGGAUAUCCUUUUAAUCUCACCAAGCCUUCUGAGUUAGAAAUCGAGCCGCACGUCCCACGCGCAUGUCUUUGUGCUUGCCAUUUUUCUUUAAAAAGCAAAAGUAAUUUCUUUACUUUUACUCAGUCUUUUUAUUUUGGCCCAUGGCAAUUUAGGAUAAGCUUUUCAAGUCCCAGUUUAUAUGCGAUGGGGAAAGACAAUAUCCAGUUCAUUCCUGCUCCCAAGGCAGAGCUCUUCAGAUGGUGGGGUCAAUUAGAUCAGUUUGCCCAAGAGCGCGUGAAGGCCAAAGUCGGUCAUCUCCUAUCGUUGAUUCAAAUCACUGUUCGUCCCGAAGUCAUACAGGCCAUGGCACAUUUUUGGUGCUUGAAGACGACUACUUUUAUGUUUGGUGGGUUUGAGCUAACCCCAACUCUGGAAGAAUACAGCAUCAUCACUGGAAUGCCUCUCGAGAAAAAGCUUGUUAAGCCAUCGACAGGCUUCCUCCCGUGGUAAGGGUUAGCGCGACUUUUAGGAACUGAAAUCCAUGUCUUGAGACAAAUUCUUGAAGGCAACCAUAAUACUUGCCCACUAGAAUUCAUGAAUGCCUGUUUUCAAAAUCAGCCUAUGACCCAAAAAAGCGAGAUUUUCCUCCUGGGCUUUUUUGGGUUCAUCAUUUUCCCCCAUCAAAGAAAUGUCAUAAGUCCUAAGAUGGCAUGGAUAGUUGACCAAAUCUUGAGGGGGCAAAAUUAUGUCAUAUGAUUUUAACUGAAACAUUCUUGUCCUUUAAUCGUUUUAAAGACAACACGGAGAAAUCAUGCGAGCCUCUCCUGAAAUUUUACAGUAUGGUUCUUUUCUCACCUAAGCGAAUUCCAAGGCUUCAUGCGNNNNNNNNNNNNNNNNNNNNNNNNNNNNNNNNNNNNNNNNNNNNNNNNNNNNNNNNNNNNNNNNNNNNNNNNNNNNNNNNNNNNNNNNNNNNNNNNNNNNNNNNNNNNNNNNNNNNNNNNNNNNNNNNNNNNNNNNNNNNNNNNNNNNNNNNNNNNNNNNNNNUUUGCUUUCAAGCGCGCAUCCAAUUCCGCUGCUCGGCUCACCGGUGCUUUUUCCUAUUUCCCACAACGGGUGGCACGACAGUAUGGAGCCUUCAGGAGAUCCCGCCAUCUUUCAAGAAGAGGACCCCUCCACUUCUCUACAUUCAUCAAAAUUUUGAAUACAUGGUUGACAUUUAUGAAGAAGCAUGGAACAAGUGCCAUCAUAAAAGGAUCGUGGUACUGAAGGGCUUGAGGGAGAAGAAAAAGCCCACCACGCCUCCAUGUCCUACAUCCACAACCAUCGCAUCCCGACAAAAUGGAAGCCAUCAGUCCCUCACUCAAUCAGCGAGAGCAGCCAGCACAAGCAAGCAGAGCUCAUGGAGAGGGAUUUGGGAAUGGACUGGAUGCACACCUCAGAGCCAGUUCAAGGAAGCAGGCGUUCUUGCAAGAACAAGGCUCCCCGUCGCAUAUAAAUUGGCAAUCAUGUGCCCCUUAGUGUAAAUAGUGUGAAAGUUCUGUCCCAUUGUUUAGGGACUCUUGUUUAAUAUCUAGUAUUUCAUCCUGUCUUUUCAAUUUCAAGUUCUAGAUGUUAGGAGUUGGCAGUCUAUAAAUCCUCUUUUGAUAAAUGAAAAAGCAGUUAGACCAUUGCCAUGGGUCAAUCUUUGUUUACUGUUGUGCUCAUUCAUUGUUUUCAACACAAGCAGGUAAUUAUGAAUCGCCGACCACCAAUUGCUCGUAAAUGGCCUCAUGCAAUAGGACCCGAUCAGAAUGAUGUACAAAAUCGCCUUAUUAACAUUGAAGACAGCGUAGGACAGAUGUCCAUUGUCCUUCAACAACUCUCAAGACAAAUGAAAUCCACUCAAGCUGAGCCCAACUCUAUAGUUGCCUCAAACACCGUCAUGACACCUGCAAAUUUGCCAGAAAAUAGCCAGUACCAUAAACAGUUUGAAAAGAUCAUGAACAAGUUAAGCCAGCUGCAGGAGCAGAAUCCCAUGGACCUGUCCAAUUACACCGGCAUUGAGAUCCCUGAAAAACUCAAAGCACCUGAAUGCGAAAGGUAUGCUGAUACCUCCCGCCCAGAGACCUACUUGCAGGCCUACCUGGUUCGAAGGAUGAUUCAAUCAUACCAAUCGAGCUUGACUAGCCCUGCCUUGCGAUGGUACAUUGUCAGGAAGAUUAGUCUCCUUAAAACCUGGAGGGAACUAAUUCAUGUUUUUCACCAAGAAUAUGAUAUGGACAUCAACCCUGACAUAGCCUUGCCUUACGAAAAAUUGAUGAUUGCGGAGCACGAGGAACCGUUAGUCGCUGAGAUAGGAGAAGAUCAUGUUAAUGAAGCCUUGCAUGAUAAAUGGGCAGCUGAACAACACCCUGUUAUUGGAAAAUUUCCCACUAGGAAAGGCAAGGAGCCUUUGUACGAGAUCAAAGACAAAGAGCCUGUUCAAGACUAGGGCACGACUGGACGAUUCCCCAAGCUUACUCCAAGAGCUAGGGUCCAAAGAAUACCAACCCCUAUCAACUUGGGAAGUGAAUCACCCCGUGCAUUUGUAGUGUCUNNNNNNNNNNNNNNNNNNNNNNNNNNNNNNNNNNNNNNNNNNNNNNNNNNNNNNNNNNNNNNNNNNNNNNNNNNNNNNNNNNNNNNNNNNNNNNNNNNNNNNNNNNNNNNNNNNNNNNNNNNNNNNNNNNNNNNNNNNNNNNNNNNNNNNNNNNNNNNNNNNNNNNNNNNNNNAGAGUACAACUCUGAAGACUUCCCGGCCCUAGAAUACAAUCCCAAGGACUUCCAGCGUUAUUUUGACAAUGAAACUGACGAUUCAUCGUAUAACUGUUUCCUACUCUCAUCCGGGGAUGAAGGCCCGUCAGAAGAGGAAGCAUACGUCUUUAUCCGCCACGAUCCUAACGAAGUACUAAGCUCUUCCUCUGACCAUGAGGAUAGCUUCAAUACUUCAUCCUCAUUUGGAAAUUUUGACCCGAAAGAAAGUAAUGGGGUAAUCUCGAUAGAGUCCAGCUUCCCUGAAAUAGAAAAAUUCACCACUACAACAGAUAUGUAGUGGGAAAACCAUUGGCCUAACCAAGAUACAUCAAGCCCGUCUUGCCCUCAUAGGAUCAUGAGCCCCAUAGAAAUGUGGAUACCCAAUCUCCGCAAGUAUAACGGCACAGCUUGUCCCGUGGCCCACUUGCAGUAUCUCCAUGCGGAAAUGAGUCGGUACUAUGGCCCGAUGUCGUUCACAACUCAGGCAUUCCAAGAAACUCUUACGGGGUCUGCAUUGCAAUGGUUUAUCACAGCCAACAUUUAUCUUUUAAAGGAUUGGAAUGAGCUGACUUCCACAUUCUUACAUCAGUACCAAAGCCAGAUCGGAACUGAAGUGCCUUGUCAGAACUUGGUUCACUUCAAAAGAAGACCAAUGGAGGAUUUCCGAGCGUAUGCAAGGAGGUGGGAGGCUUUUAUGAUGCAAACUUACCCUCAACUGGCCGAAGAAGAAAUGAUAAAGCUAUUCAUAAGGGCUUUACCUCGCAAGCAUCGUUGUUGGUUGCAGGGGUUGCAUCUCCAUAGCCUCAAUGAAGUGGUCCUUUCAUGUGAAUACUUCGAGUCUACUGGAGGCGAAUAAUUCAAAGAUGCUUAGCUUCAAGACCAGCACUAUCAAAGCACUCCUUUACACAGGAGUUUUCAUGGGUGUUACUUGUUUUUAUAGUUUCAUGUUUCUUAUCUUAUCUAGUGUGCUACGGUUGUAUUUUCCACUCCAAGUACUCUAUUGUACAGUUAUAAUAUUUUGUUUUAAGAGCAUGAGGCGGUACUCCAAACCAGCCCGGUGAUGCUAUCCAACCAUGAAAAAAUAUAUCAUCCAAGGAGAAUACUGAGGGCUGGGCUUCGUCAUGUUUUUUCUCCCCUGAAUACAUAUUUUGAAAACAAAAAAACACUUCAUCACCAAAAUCUUUCAAAAAAGAUGAUAAAUUUAAUCAUGUUUGCCUUUCUGACUCACUCACUUCAUGUCUCAGAAGAUCAUUCCCGUCCCCUUUGAUUUAGUGUGACAAAAGGUAUUUGAAACUGGCGCAUCAUGUGAGCUCGCCAAAUCCAAAAAUACCCUUUCAAGAAGACAAUGGGGCAAACAGAAAAUAUCAUUCCACUUCAAAGAAGGUAAGUUUUAUUCUCUGAAUAUAAUUUUAGAAAUGAUGUCCUUUCUCUUCUAUUUUACAGGAAACGAAAAAUAGGAUGUAAUAGGUACGAGCACACGGUUGGAAUCAAGCCGUUCCCAAGAGCUCUGUACACUCCACCUUGCUCCUGCCCAACUCCUUCACAAGCCAGAGCAAUAUCCUUUCCCCAUAGUGUGCCUGAGCAACCAGAUGUUGUGGUUUCAUCAACGGGACUUCCAGCUUCGACAGCCCAGAAGCACAAGGAGGGGAUCUUUUCUCUUUGAAUUGGCUACUGUCAACAGGGAGAAAUCCAGCUUCGACAAGCCCAGAAGCACAAGGAGGGGAUCUUUUCUCUUUGAAUUGGCUACUGUCAACAGGGAAGAAAUCCAGACAGUUGAAGCGGUCUCUAGCCCGUACUCAAAAUGAGGACCUAGAAACCUGACUUCCUAUUCAGACGCAUACUCUCGCAAGAAGUAAUUGCCAUCAGAGAAUUAGAGACAGAAGGAGAAAUUCCACAGAAGGAAGGCGUUGAAGAUGAAUCAACGACCAGCAAUCAUGCAUACAUGGUCACAAGUAAGGAAGGCCAAUCGAAAGAAAUGUCAAACUAUGCCAAGACAAAAAGGCUGUCAUCGACAUUCAAACAUCAUCAGGAGUCAGCAAAUACAAACUUUGGAGAAGAGUAAUUUGGUAUCGUUUCCAAUACUCCCCCCUUCUUUGAAUUCACUUUUGACAUAUUCCCCCUAUUGACAGGGAGCAUCACAACUCAAGAACCAAACUCAAUGGUUAGGCAAAUCAAUAUUGGCCAAGCUAGUACGUGGAAAUGACCCACAUCAAAUUCACCUGGCUUCGUGUAAAAAGACAUGUCAUCCAGGAGCUAAUUCAGAGAAUAAUUGACCUAAUGAAGCAAGGGACAUAGGACUUCAUGUCCCCCUCUCACUUCAGGUUCACCCAAUCAUCUGCAAACCAGUGAAGGGUAAAGUUGUAUCGAUUCAAGUUAUUUGACUCUUGAAAGAGUUCAUGACUAACACAUUCCCUCUUGUUUGUUGCAGGAUCACCUGACUGUCAAAAGCAAGGAUAACGAAUCAAUGAGAAGCAUGUCUUGUUUGUUGCAGGAUCAACUGACUGUCAAAAACAAAGAUAACAAAUCAAUGAGAGGCAUGACAAACUCUCCCAAGCAAAAUGGCGUCUCAAGUAUUGCCAAAGCAAAUGACAGAAAAUCUUCAGGCCUCAACUCACAUUCAAUUUUGGCCAAACUAAUUGAUCUACUUGUACAUCUUCUCUUCUGCAGGGGCAAAAGCAGAGAUGCCCGAUCAGAUUCCCAACCCCGACUGAUCAUUCAUGUGUCAUAUCCCUAAAUCAAUAAGGACAACCAUCGACACCCAUUUGCAAAUAACCCUUUUGAUGUUCAAAAUCUAACAUAUUUAGAAACACCAUUAUGUUAGCCCCUAAAGUUGUCAAUAGGGUCUUUUUUGAGUCAAAACCAUUCACUUGUUUUGAAGAGUUCAAACUCCAUCAUAUUCAAAAUGUUGCAUGUCUUCUCCAGAUGAAUUCUGCAUGAUGAUUUUGUCUGUCUAAAUCACUGAUUCCAUUGAGAAUUAUUAGAAUAGACAGCUAAGUGAAGAAUACAAGAUUAAUUGAGCAUGCUAGAUGAGGCGUGUCAGAAUGAUGACAGGCAAGCCAUAUCCUACACACAGUCCCCCCAUCUAUACACUUGUGAGAUGAGUGCAGAAGAUUCCAUGGCUGCAGGGUAAAGAGUUCUCUCGCGAAUGGUACGAUAACCAAAAUAGUGAGAGGCAUUCCAUCGCUCACCCCAUUGAGCCCCAUACAUUGGUGAAGCUUCUCUCAUACCCCCGUCAAGAACAACCCCUACACCGGGGCAGAUUAGAAGCGAAGCAGCAUCACAAGGUGAGAAGAGAGAUAGAAAUUUUCUUGCUCGCACUUGCAUCAAUCUUCGGGUGUCUUUAUUGCAUAUGAACACUCACAUUAAUUUAAGUGCCCUAGAAUGACGAAGAGCAAUUUUUUCUCUAUGCACUUGUAUUCAUUGUACAACCCAAGUGAGUCUGUAAUUUUACCCUCACAUUGAGAAAAAACAGAAGUUACUGCCAUUUAAGCAGCAUAGCCCAGAGCACCUACUGAAGAUGAAGACUCAAAAGUCUAAUAACGGUGCUUCGAUUGAACUCGCCUAGGCCAGUUCCUCUAACGACAAGAAUGAAAAAAUAUGGGCAUAAAAAAGCAGUGUACCUGGUAAAAGCAAGGUCAAUGCCCAUAAAAGAAGAACUGGAAUAAAAAUAGGGGCAUGAAAAAAGCAGUGUGCCUGGUAAAAGCAAGGCCAAUGCCCCCCAGUAAAAAAUGCAGCCAAGAAAAUGUUGCUGUUGUGGUCCAUAGAACCUCCAUUUGACAGUAAGGAGAAAGACUAGUGACAAAUGCCAAGGCAAUCACCAGCUCUACCUUUUUACACAUGAAUCAAGCCUACGUUGCAUCCCAUUGUAAAGGUCUCUUUAGACUAGGGGCACUUCAAUUAACGUAGGAUUUCAUAUGUCUAUAAGCAUCGCUUGAAGAAGUACGAGCAAGAUUACUCUAUCUCUUUUCGUAGGAUUCUUGACUUGUAAACCCGGAAAUGAUCGUGCAGCAUUUUCGUCCAUCAGCUUCAACCUUGAUGGUCCCCUUCGAUGAGUCACUGACCAAGACUUCAUCACAAUUUCAACAAAGACCUCUCACAUUGGUAAAGUCGUACCGUUUGCGAGAAUACUCGGACCCCUGCUAACAUGAUGACAGUGAGAUAGUGUGGUCCUUAUAAAUCCUGCAUCAAUGGUCAGGAUAGCCUUUUCCAUGAGAGUGAGCGGAAAGUCCUUUCAGACUGAAAGUCCCUCAUCUGGCAUGCUCAAGACAUCUACAUUCUAAAUGAAAGUUGUCUUUCAAAAUCUUCCCAAAUGGAAAUCAAAAGAUGUAGAACUGACAAAAUUAUCAUGCAUGAAUCUCAUUUGAACUCAUGAAUUUAUAGCAUACGCAAUCAUGUGUGCAUAUUGUGCAAAUAGCAGAUAUACUCUCAGAGAUUAGAGAUAUUGCUAGGUAAGCAUAUCCCUAUUCGUCUUAAGGUACCUAUCACUGUCCAGGUACUCUCCCCUUGACACUCAACCUAUUCGAAUUGUCUCUUGAGUUUCGAUGCUUGCAACUGUCUUAGCAUCCCAUUGUCUCCGAGUACCGGCCAUCGUCCGGAUACUCCUUUUUCCUGACACUCGACCUAUUCGAGUUGUCCUCGGAGUAUUGAUACUUGUGACUGACCAAGUAUCCCUUUAUCGUUAAAUACCUACUGCUAUCUAGGUAUCCCUAUCGUCUUUGAGUACCGGCUACCGUUCGGAUACUCCCUUUUUCUGACACUCAACCUGUUGUCCCUAGAGCAUUGAUACUUAUGACUAACCAAGUAUCUCUUGGAAUACCUACUGCUGUCUAGGUAUCCCCAUAUCGUCAAGUACCCACCAUUGUCUAGGUACUUCCUUUUCAUGACACUCAACUUGCCCAAGUUGUCCCCAAAUAAUAGCAGUUGUUCAAGCAUUCCACUACUUUGUGUGCCCACGCCUACCCAGGUAUGCUUUCUUACACUUGGACCAACUGAGCGGUCCUAGAUCAUAUCAUUAAAUACUUGUGUUCAUCCAAGUAUUCCAGUACUUUGUACACCUGUGGCUAUCCAGGUGUUCCACCCCCUUUAAGUGCCUGCGGCAAUCCAGGUAAGCCUCGUGCUACAUUCAAGUUUAUGUUACCAGGAGGUGAGAGACCUUCAUAAAUAUGCGAGGCACGUCCUCAAUAUUCCCAAUUACCAGGAGGUGAGAGACCUUCAUGAAUAUCCAAGGUACGUCCUCGAUAUUCCCAUUUACCAGGAGGUGAGAGACCUUCACGAAUAUCCCAGGUACGUCCUCGAUAUUCCCAAUUACCAGGAGGUGAGAGACCUUCACGAAUAUCCCAGGUACGUCCUCGAUAUUCCCAUUUACCAGGAGGUGAGAGACCUUCAGGAAUAUCCUAGGCACGUCCUCGAUAUUCCCAUUUACCAGGAGGUGAGAGACCUUCAUGAAUAUCUCAGGUACGUCCUCGAUAUUCCCCUUUACCAGGAGGUGAGAGACCUUCACGAAUAUCUCAGGCACGUCCUCGAUAUUCCCAAUUAUCAGGAGGUGAGAGACCUUCAUGAAUAUGCGAGGCACGUCCUCGAUAUUCCCCUUUACCAAGAGGUGAGAGACCUUCAUGAAUAUGCGAGGCACGUCCUCGAGAUUCCCUUUUACUAGGAGGUGAGAGACCUUCAUGAAUAUCCAAGGUACGUCCUCGAUAUUCCCACUACUAGGAGGUGAGAAACCUUCACGUAUAUGCAAGACCCAUCCUCGAUAUUUCCACACGAAUAUCUCAGGUAUGCCUUAAUUCUUCCUUCAGAGUUUGUACCUGUGAUCAUCCAGGUACCCCUUCGAUACUUGUGAUCAUCCAGGUAUCCCCAAAGAGUUUGUACAUGUUAUCGUCCAGGUACCCCUCUGAUGCUUGUGAUCAUCCAGGUAUCCCCCAAGAGUUUGUACCUGUGAUCGUCCAGGUACCCCUCCGAUGCUUGUAAUCAUCCAGGUAUCCCCGAAGAAUUUACACCUGUGAUCGUCCAGGUACCCCUUCGAUACUUGUGAAUGUCCAGGUAUCCCCCAAGAAUUCAUAAUUAUGAUCAUCCAGGUAUCCCCCAAGAAUUCAUAAUUGUGAUCAUCCAAAUACCCUUUCAGUGCCUAUGGUCAGCCAAAUACACAUUUCGACGCUUGCAAAGGCCCAAAUAUCCUUCAUGUUAGUACUUGUGAAUAUCCAGGUACUCUUUGAUAUGCUUGUGAAUGUCCAGGUAUCUUCCAGAAUCGAUGCCCUGAAAAAGGUCGGCGCAUCCUCCCGAGAAAGGUCGGGUUCCAACUGGUGUCUUCGACAGAAGUCAGACGCCCCACAAAUCGAUGCCCUGAAAAAGGUCGGCGCAUCCUCCCGAGAAAGGUCGGGUUCCAACUGGUGUCUUCGACAGAAGUCAGACGCCCCACAAAUUGAUGCCCUGAGAAAGGUCGGCGCAUCCUCCCGAGAAAGGUCGGGUUCCAACUGGUGUCUUCGACAGAAGUCAGACGCCCCACAAAUCGAUGCCCUGAAAAAGGUCGGCGCAUCCUCCCGAGAAAGGUCAGGUUCCAAUUGGUGUCUUCGACGGAAGUCAGACGCCCCACAAAUUGAUGCCCUGAGAAAGGUCGGUGCAUCCUCCCGAGAAAGGUCGGGUUCCAACUGGUGUCUUCGACAGAAGUCAGACGCCCCACAAAUCGAUGCCCUGAAAAAGGUCAGCGCAUCCUCCCGAGAAAGGUCGGGUUCCAACUGCUGGUGUCUUCAACAGAAGUCAGACGCCCCACAAAUCGAUGCCCUGAGAAAGGUCGGUGCAUCCUCCCGAGAAAGGUCGGGUUUCAACCAGUGUCUUUGACAGAAGUCAGACACCCCAACAAAAUAGAUGCUCUGAGAGAGGUCGGCGCAUCUCCCGAGAAAGGUCGGGUACCAACUGGUGUCCUCGAUACAAAUCAGGCACCCACAAAUGAGAUGCCCUGAGAAAGGUCGGUGCAUCUCCCGUCAAGGCGACCGAAGAAAGGUUCGGGUCCUAGACAAAUCGUGGAUUGUUCCAACAGGCGACCGAAGAAUGGUUCGGGUCCUGGAAGAGCAGUCUCCCGUCACGGCGACCGAACAAUGGUUCGGGUCCGAGACAAACCACUGAUUACUCCAACAGGCGACCGAAGAAUGGUUCGGGUCCUAGAAGAGCAGUCUCCCGUCAAGGCGACCGAAGAAAGGUUCGGGUCCUAGACAAAUCAUUGAUUGUUUUAACAGGUGACCGAAGAAUGGUUCGAGCCCUGGAAAAGCAACCUCCUCAUAUCACCAGGUAAGAUGACGCCUUGAUACUUGCCAAAACUCGGGGUUCACACCCUACCUCACUCACUCCCGGUAAGUAACUACAGGUAUCUUCUUAUCUGUCUUAGUAUAUGUAAAGUUAUAUUGCUCUUUUCCUACAUAGAAUAAUAGAUCCCAAAUAAAAUAUAAUUUGCUACGCGUGCAUGAAAAAAUUUAGGCAUCAGUUUGUCUUUGAAUGCAACCUCUGCGAACUCACCUUCAAAGAGGGGCAGCUGUUGACACCUAAAUUUCGUUUUUAAUUAAUUAGGUUUUUUUACAUUUAUUUGUCUUUUUUGGAUAGUAAAUAAUAAAUGAAAAUAAAAACAAGAAAAGAAACAAAAAGAAAAGCAUAAGCCAAUAGUCAUAAGGGCUGGGCCUUCAAAGCCUAGCCCCUCCCUCUUUUCUUUUCCUUCGCAGGCCCGCGAGGCCCAGCCGCGUGGCUCAGCCCAGCCCUUUCUCCUUGUCUUCUUCCUUCGCAGGCACGCGCCGGAGAGGAGGACGCGCGCGACGCCGGAGCAAAACGGAGGAACAGAAGCGCACGUGGAGCAAGGGGGCGGUUGGCGUCGGAUAAGGACGUGCAGGGAGCAGCUGGCGUCGGAUGGGACGCCGGUUCGGCCGGCGGAGGCCGCUCGGUGCACGGGGACCUACGGUCGAAGCUCCGCCGACCGGCUGCCCCCUCGCCUAUAAAAGGGCACCACCUUCGUCGAAGAACGGCACGGGCGAGCUCGGAGAUCCUUCACUGAGAGACAUCGGGAAGGAUUGAAGGGCGAGCACGGGAGAGAACUCGGGUCGCGAGCUCGGCUGACCUCCCACUGAGAGACUUCAGGGGAGGCCGCCGACGAGCAAGUCCGAGAAGGUCAGAUCCGGCCGGUGGAGGCUCGGAUCUGGCCUGAGUGAGAGAGAAGCGAGGUCGGGCUGAGAAGCAAAGAAGGUGAGAUCCGAGCAGGAAGGAGCUGAGCGAGAGAAGAUCCGGAGGAGAGAGGGUCGGGAUCUGGGCGCAGAUCUGGAAAUCCGCCGUGCCGAGUCGCCCCGAGCCAGGCCGUCGCCGUCACUGUGGCCGAACACCAGUCCCGACGCCGUCAAACCAUACUGUCGCCCCCCGCGCCUCGCCGCUGCUAUUUUUCCCGACGCCGUCCAAGUUUAAGGGCCGCCGUCAUCAAGCCGUGCCGCCGUGCCGUGCCAACGCCGAGAGCAAGUGACGAUAGAUCCUGCCCACACCAUACCGAUUUCCGCUCGAAGCUCUGACCGUCGUCGCCGCCGUCGCCGCCGUCGCCACCGUCGCCACCGCGCACCUCAGCCUUCCCCUCUCCGGCGCCGCGAAUCAAGAACCCUAGGGUUCUCGAUUUUCCGGGUCGCGACCUCGGGUCAGUGGGUCGGACCCGGGGCUACGAGUCGGGUAGGGUUUCUCCGUAUUUUGGGGGGGCGGCGGAAACCGGGUCGGGGUUCGGGUCGGAUCCGGGUAGGGUUUCAUCGGGGGAGCGGGUUGCGGAGCCGGGUCGUCGGGCCGGGCUGGAUCCCUCCCAAAACGAUGGGCCACGACGCCGUUUCAAUAAAUAAAUAAAAAAAGAAAAAGACGAAAAAAAACCGAGUCGGGCCCGCAACGCGGGCCCGUCCUCAUUCGAAUCGCUGGCCCGGGUCGGACCCAACCCGCGGAUUUGACCCGGGUCGGUUUUAUUUUAUUAUUUUAAUAUAAAAUAAUAAAUAUUUUAUUUUCAAAAAAAAUCAAAAAGUGUUUUAUUUUCAAAAAAUAUUAAAAAAAUAUUUUAAUUUCCAGAAAAUCGAAAAAUAUUAAAAAUUGUUGAAAAAUGUUUUAUUUUCUAAAAAAUCGAGAAAAAUCAAAAAAAUAAUUUAUUUUCCAAAAAUAUUAAAAAAAUAUUAAAAAAUAUUUUAUUUUCCGAAAAAUCAAAAAAAUCAAAAAUAUUUCAUAAUUUCCAAAAAAAAGCCAAAAAUUCAGAAAAAGCCAAAAAGACUUGUAUUUUUCCAAAAAAAUACCAAAAAACCCCAAAAAAUCCCUUUUGUGUCCAAAAAAAAUUAGAAAAUGACUCAAAAAUGUUUUUCCUCCCAAAAAUGCAUGGAAAAUCUCUCAAACAUCCAAAAAGCCUUAGGGUUUAAACAAGAUUAGGUACCGAAAGGGCAUUAGUGAUUAACUAGUGUAAUCAAGUCCCCGAUCUUAAUUUCUCUGGUUGCGCAGGAGCGAGUAUUUCUCCCGAUACUUCGCUUGGGUUUCUAAUCGACCCACUCCAAAUCGAUUAGUGGCGACUCCAUUUUAAAAAUUGAUUUAUAGGUUAAAAACUCAAACUAUUAAAGUCGUGAAUUGGUGGACUUGGGAGAGUCCGGGCUUAAUAAAUUCAGCCGAGCCAUUAGCCUCCUUAGGCGCUCGUACCCGAUCGCGGGCGCCAAAAAAAAAGAGGUCGCGACA
rnacentral:lncRNA from 1 species